rnacentral:rRNA from 1 species
GGGAUUGCCUCAGUAACGGCGAGUGAAGCGGCAACAGCUCAAAUUUGAAAUCUCCUUCGGGCGAGUUGUAAUUUGCAGAGGAUACUUUGGAGUCAUCUUUGGUCUAAGUUCCUUGGAACAGGACGUCACAGAGGGUGAGAAUCCCGUACGUGGCCGAGUGAUUUCUCCGUGUAAAGUUCCUUCGACGAGUCGAGUUGUUUGGGAAUGCAGCUCUAAAUGGGAGGUAUAUUUCUUCUAAAGCUAAAUACCGGCCAGAGACCGAUAGCGCACAAGUAGAGUGAUCGAAAGAUGAAAAGCACUUUGGAAAGAGAGUUAAAAAGUACGUGAAAUUGUUGAAAGGGAAGCGUUUACGGCCAGACUUGAUGGCGGUUGCUCAGCCGGUCUUUGCCCGGUGCACUCUUCCGUCAUCAGGCCAGCAUCAGUUCGGGUGGCUGGAUAAAGGCAUCGGGAAUGUAUCUCCUCGGAGUGUUAUAGCCCCUUGCACAAUACGGCCUACCCGGACUGAGGACAGCGUUCGCUUGGAUGCUGGCGUAAUGGCAGUCAACGG